UACGUAGGGGGCAAGCGUUGUCCGGAAUCAUUGGGCGUAAAGAGCGUGUAGGCGGCUCGGUAAGUCCGCUGUAAAAGUCCAGGGCUCAACCCUGGAAAGCCGGUGGAAACUGUCGGGCUAGAGUCCGGAAGAGGCGAGUGGAAUUCCUGGUGUAGCGGUGAAAUGCGCAGAUAUCAGGAGGAACACCGAUGGCGAAGGCAGAUCUCUGGGCCGUAACUGACGCUGAGGAGCGAAAGCAUGGGGAGCGAACAGG
rnacentral:rRNA from 1 species